UCCGGCGACUACGUCUGAAAGGCCACACCCGUCCCCAUCCCGAACACGGUAGUUAAGCUUUCAGAGCCGAUGGUAGUACCAAAAGUGCGAGAGUAGGUGUCGCCGGAU
rfam:Planctomycetes bacterium RBG_16_64_12 RBG_16_scaffold_6934, whole genome shotgun sequence.